AACGCGUAUACAAUCUACCUUGUACAGGGGUAUAGCCCAGGGAAACUUGGAUUAACACCCCAUAGUAAUAUGUUUUGGCAUCAUUACAUAUUUAAAACUACGGUGGUACAAGAUGAGUAUGCGUCCCAUUAGCUUGUUGGUGUGGUAACGGCACACCAAGGCAACGAUGGGUAGGGGCCCUGAGAGGGGGAUCCCCCACACUGGUACUGAGACACGGACCAGACUCCUACGGGAGGCAGCAGUGAGGAAUAUUGGACAAUGGGCGAGAGCCUGAUCCAGCCAUGCCGCGUGCAGGAAGACUGCCCUAUGGGUUGUAAACUGCUUUUAUACGGGAAGAAACCCACCUACGUGUAGGUGGCUGACGGUACCGUAAGAAUAAGGACCGGCUAACUCCGUGCCAGCAGCCGCGGUAAUACGGAGGGUCCGAGCGUUAUCCGGAAUCAUUGGGUUUAAAGGGUCCGCAGGCGGCCAGAUAAGUCAGUGGUGAAAUUCCGUGGCUCAACCACGGGACUGCCAUUGAUACUGUUUGGCUUGAAUCAGUUCGAGGAUGCCGGAAUGUGUGGUGUAGCGGUGAAAUGCAUAGAUAUCACACAGAACACCAAUU
rnacentral:rRNA from 1 species